rnacentral:lncRNA from 1 species
GAGAAGGACCCUGGAAGUGGUUCCAGGGGGGUCCCUAGAAGUGCGUCCUUCCUGGCACUUAGGCAAGAAUGAUGGGCUCAGCUCUGUGCUCUGUGAGGUUCCACGUGCCCACGUGCUUGCUAUACGAGAGCGCCUGAGGGAGUCAAAACCACGACUUUACCAGAAGUUCCUUUUUAAACUGGGGAAGAUCAUCAAGUAAACUCCCCGACUCAGCUCAGAUGAGCUGAAUGUCCCCGACUGGCACAUCUAACCUGGGAAGAACACGAGAAAGGUUUGCAACAACUCUUCUCUCUUAUUCUCCUUCAGAUCCAAGGCAGCCUGGGAAUGAAUACAGUCAGUGCCACCGUAGCAGGCAUUGGCAUAAUUGUGAUAAUUUUUGAAGAAAUAAUCACGUAUGACACAAUGAUGUGGAAGUCUUCCUAUGCAGUUGCAUUUAUAGGCAUGCUAACCGGACUGCUGCUCUUGUCUUUGGCGGAAGGCUGCAUUGCUCUGGCUCUCUCCAUAUUUGUGUGCAGGGCGGCCUGUUCCGUCAACAAGGUGGUGGUUUUCUUGCCAAAUAAUGACAACAGCCCCUCUCCUGACCAUUUGUAUGACGAGGUCGCAUUUCAAUAGAUCCCUGUGGUGUGGCAUUUCCAGUCAGUUUGACCUAUCGAAUCUCCCUCAGUUGGCUGUUUACCACAUGGGACUAAGACUGAGAGUACAACACAGGAUAAUAAAGACUGCUUUUAUUUGCUGAUGAGGAUUAUU